rnacentral:tRNA from 1 species
ACUUUCGUAGUGUAAUUGGAAGCAUGUCCGACUAGCAAUCGGAAGGUUUGGAGUUCGAAUCCCGGCGAUGGCA